GACAGUCUCUCACACCGUCCCCCAUGAAGGUGGCUACUCUCCUGAUUCUAACAGCAAGGAUUCCUGUGACCAGCUUUUGUCCUUUGCCCAGAUAGAACUACGCGGUGUGUUCUCGUCAGUGUCUGGCUUUUUCGCUCCCUAUCAGGAGUGUAAGAUUUACCCACAUUUUUGUGUGCAUGGAUUAUAAUUAUGGCAGUGCAAUCUCUUAUCAUAACAAUUAGUUUGUGUUCUCCCAGAAGAGACCCUGAGCAAGGAUCCUAGUGUAAGCAGUUUAUUGGGUGACGAAGAAAACCCUGGCAAAUGAGGUGAAUUAGGAAGAGAGACAAGGAAAGGCUGUACAGGAUGCAUGGCUGUGGAGGCCUCGGGAAACUUACAAUCAUGGCAGAAGGUGAAGAGGAAGGAGGAACAUCAUACAUGGCUGGAGCAGGAGGAAGAAGGUGAGAGGGGGAGGUGCUACACGCCUUUAAACAACCAGGUCUCAUGAAAACUCACUAUCACAAGAACAGCAAGGGGGAAAUCCGCCCCCAUGAUCUAAUCACCUCCCAGCAGGCCCCUCCUCCAACGCUGGGGAUUACAGUUCGACAUGAAGUUUGUGCGGGGACACAAAUCCAAACCAUAUCAGGCACUCUUGGCUUUGAAUAUUGACCUGCCUUUAUAUGGAUGGCGUUAUGACCUACAGGUGGAGAUGUUGGACUUGGAUGGAUUCUGUGGCUCAUGCACAGGAGAGGCCCAGCCUUUGGCCUCCCUCCAAGUGUUUUCCCAGGUGGGCGGCCUGCCAGGCUGUGUGCAUGACAGUCUGACCCCUCAGGUUGUUUAUAAGGUUCUUCAGGGCAGAGGUUCCUUGAGGACCAGUGGUCAAGGACUUGGGUUCCAGCCCCAGCUCUACCGCUCACCAGCUGUGUGCCUCUCCGAAUCGAAGCGUCUUUAUGUCUAAAAUGGAAGCCACUACACUUCCCUCCCAGAGGAGGCAUAAGAGACCUAUGCCUGUGUAACGUGACCGGUGCCUGGCAUGUAAUACAUUCUCAAUAAAUG
rnacentral:lncRNA from 1 species